rnacentral:sRNA from 1 species
CCUUAGCCCUGAUGGAAGCGGCAUCCUUUUUAUUUUUUCUUUAAAAAUAAAAAGAUACAGCGGACAGCAGGAAACAGC